GAUUAGAAUUAUUGCGAAAUACAUGAUGGCACACGCAAACUCGCUCGCGGACAACCACGCUGAUAUCCAAGACUGAUGUAAAAAUGCUUUGACAAAGAUUGAAGAAAAUACGGGAAAGCGCUAUAGAACAGGCAUGUUUUCAUCAAGUAGAUAAAACGAAUCAACCAGGUGGUUCUGACGUUGGUGAUCAAAGUGUCGCGCAACAGCGAGGUUCCUUGCCUCGGAGGCUGUUAUUCGUGUCGCCUUUUUUGCCCAGACGGGAGAAAAUGGUGUUGCCGGUUGUGAGCGCGAAAUUUAAAACGAAAUUGGUCUCUGGAAUAGAAAGAAGUUGUUGAAUCGUCACAUAACAAAAAUCAAUUUUUGAACAGAAAUACUGUGUCAUAUAUGGGAAUACUUUAUUAAAGGUGAUAAGUUGGACAGAAUAGUUGACAAAAGAUCAAGUCGUAACCAAUAUAUAAAUAAAGUAAAAUAUAAUUAAAUUAUUACCUUUUAGCCCUACCCCUCCAUGCAAAUUCGAUUGAAUUCCAGAUCACGGAUGCACAAAUGUUUCCAUGCAGGUUAUAGGCGUUGUAAUAAUACAGUACUGUCCAGAAAUAACACUGCGGUUGCGGUUCGGUGGCAGUUCCGUUGCGGUUAGGUCGCGGUUCUGUUGCGGUCGACCGAUAGAAACCGCAGACGACUGCAAGGAAAAAAUACUUCACAUGGUCGUUCGCUUCCGAGCAAAGUAUUAUGAACAGCUGAGAACGAAAACACAAUAAGCAAAGCGAAAAAAUGUUGAGAAAUGUUUUUCAGACCGAGUUAGACUGAGGUUUAACCUCCGUCUCACCGCGGUUUGACCUCGGCGAGACCUCGGUUUAACAGCCGAUUAGACCGAGGUUUGACCUAGCUUAACCGCGGGUUUUGUUAGCCGGUUAUUUCUGGACAGUAUACUGUGGGUAUUAUAGAAGGAGUGCCCCUAUAAAUGGAUAAGAGACGAAAAAUUCAGUAGAAUGAUGGAAUUGUAUAAGGCGUAGCCUAUUAUCACUAGAAAUAUACAUUCUUAUACCGCAAAGCAAAUAUUAAUA